rnacentral:sRNA from 1 species
UACAAAUAUGGAGGCGGGCUGGACCUCUCGGGGUUACAGCCUUGCUGAAUUAUUCACCCUUGUCUUUUGCGUACUUCUUGUUUCCUUGGUGGGUUCGCCCACCACUAGGACAAACAUAAACCUUUUGUAAUUGCAAUCAGCGUCAGUAACAAAUUAAUAAUUACAACUUUCAACAACGGAUCUCUUGGUUCUGGCAUCGAUGAAGAACGCAGCGAAAUGCGAUAAGUAGUGUGAAUUGCAGAAUUCAGUGAAUCAUCGAAUCUUUGAACGCACAUUGCGCCCUUUGGUAUUCCAAAGGGCAUGCCUGUUCGAGCGUCAUUUGUACCCUCAAGCUUUGCUUGGUGUUGGGCGUCUUGUCUCUAGCUUUGCUGGAGACUCGCCUUAAAGUAAUUGGCAGCCGGCCUACUGGUUUCGGAGCGCAGCACAAGUCGCACUCUCUAUCAGCAAAGGUCUAGCAUCCAUUAAGCCUUUUUUUCAACUU